AAAACACAUUCAAAAAGGACAACGGUUUUGAAAAAGCACAACGGCUUUAUUUCUCUCUCAAGCUCUUAACAAGGAAAGGGCGAAUAUGAUCACAUAUCAGGAAGGAUACUGUUGGAUCUGUGCCAGAGUGCACUGGUCCUCUGACAAAUCAAAUAUGACUCUUAAAAGUACAAAAAAAAAUAAGCGUCAUGGCGAUAUCUUGGUGUCGGUACAGUAAUAGAAGUCGAGCACGGAAACCAAAUGCAGUUUCUCAGGUGUGUAUGAGGUUUCAGUGUCCACCUUUUCCCUGUCCAAAAACUGACAGGGUCCUGUCACUGCAAAAAGCAGGAAAGCCAUCACAACGUCCAAUAAGCCAAUCCACAAGUUAAAGCAGUCCACCCUGUGAGAACAUAAGUGACCUUUUAAACAUUUAUCAUUUUAUUAGUGAUACAAUAUAUAAAUCAAACAUGUUUUGACUCCCACCCUCCCCGACUGACCACAACUCGGAAUAUAAUGAACAGGUAUGCAUAAUGUACAGACAUCAGUGACAAAGAUGAGUGAACAUUUUGUAGUGUCAUGGAGCAUUAUAAUAAGCAGUAACAUUUCUAAACCUUUAUGACAUUGGAAUAGUAAAUGACUUUCAAAAUGUGACAAAAAAAAAAUGCAAACAGAUCACAUUUUUCAAACAAAAAAUAAAUGCUUUAAUAUUCCUUCUGAGAGCCCAAAGCAACUGCAACGUUCACAAAAAAAAUGUUACACGAAGAUAGUACAUUAAUUCAUCAAGCAUCUAAUCCCCCUCCAUUAUCAUCAAAUUGUAACAUAGAAAUAGAUAUUUGGACCCUGAUUGAGAGUUCUAGUUAGGUUGCUUUUAUUACCCGGAGACUUUACAUGGUGCUGAACGUUCACUAGGGAGGUAUGCCUACUAAUUUCUUCACUAACCUCCAUCUUUCCAUCGAGUUGUGUUAACAAAAAAAAAAAAAAACACAAUACAGAGAAGUGUUUAUAAUAGCUCUAGGAGAAAAAGCAAAAAUACUCCAGGAGAGGGAUAUAAAAUCACUUGACAUGUAUCAGAUGUGAUUCAGAUUUCAACUCAUUACAACCAAAUGGAUAGCGAUAGAAAGAAUUUGAAUCAGCUAUUGGGAUCGUACAGUAAGUCAAUGAAGCCCACCCUCACUCCCCAAAACUAAAGAAUAACUCCACAUUUUUUUGCCAGCUUGGUUGAUCAAAACCACACACACACACACACUGCAGCGGCACAUGUCCACUGACUUCAGAGCCUUUUGAAAUGUUGUGACGGAAUCCUGGAUCAGGCCCUGCGGUUAACCCAUGUUCAGCACAUCACAUGCACACACUGCAUCAAAGCCAGGGAAGCUUCAAAUGAGGCAACAUGAUUUCUCUAAAAUAGGAAAUACAUAAAGGCGAGAGUCACAUAAAAGCAAAAAAACUGCCUUUAAAAAAAAAACGGAAACAUUUUCUAAGAAUCUAAGCAGUUUUGUCACAGUUCACGUGCUGUGUGAAGUACCCUGGGAGGGUGACACACCCCAGGUCACGCCUUUCAACGUCUACACACAAUGUCCUCAAACCUGGGUUUGAAGGAUUUUUAUUGAAUAAAAGGAGUCCUUGAAUAGAGCAAAUAGGAGAUGACGACUAAAAAAAUAAUAAAAAACUCCACAGUUAUCAGCGAAAAAUGACAAAGAGUUGGGGGGGGGGUGAAAAAGGUGCCGCUCUGCAAUUCUUUUUUUAAAACACUUAUAGAUUUGCUUUCUUGUGGUGACAUGUCAAGUGUCUGCCUCAUCUACAAGGCUACAGACCAAAAAGGUAAGUACAGUUUGGCAAAAAAGGGGUGAAUUACGACGGUGAACUAUCUGCAGGAGCUGGCCGUUUCCUUUUUCGGACUCUGAUGGCGAGCAACACAGAAAACGUGAAUUUCUAUUCUCUUUUUUGUUACCAUUAUCCUUCUCUCAAAAUGGACAUUAACAUUAAUAAAUAAAGACGACCUUGAAGAGUCUGCUUAGAAGAGUGUCCAAAACUAUUGUCUAUGUAUAUAUUUAUAUAUAUUUAUAUAUCUCUAUAUGUGGUGUUUAAUAAUAAUAAUAAUAAUAAUAAUGUCCGGUUCUGAAAGUUGGUGUCAGGUUCUGGGAGUUGAUACAGUAUCCCUGCCCUUCAGUCUGGCGCCGACCUGGGGUUUUGUGAAGGUUAAAAGGAGGUUUAAGGUCCGUUGCUAUGCCUUGCCCUCUUCCACUUUGAUGACUCUGGUGCAUGGUGCUGGUUUGCCCUGCCAGCCGGGAAGGGGCUCCUGGAGGUUGCUGGUCAUCAGGCAGUGCCUUCCCCUCACCCACCAGCUGGCGCCUAUCCCACAGGGCUUUACUCGAACACACACAAGAAAUUCAAGGUUAACAUUUCAUAUGGUUUUCAAAUGGGCAACAAAACACUGUUACAAGUAGGGCAGUGGCGAUAUCAAAUUAAUUCAAAUGAAUGUUCACCAAAAGCCAGUACCACAAGUAUUACAUUUUUUAUUAUUUAGUUUUGACGAGUUUGUUCUCAUGUUUUUUUGGUGUGGUCUACAUCACUCCUUCUGUGCUAUGUACCUUUCCCAGUUCUCUCACACACACACACACACACACAGUCCCGCACCCUGCCACUCACAACAAGGAUGAAAGACCACUUCUCCCUCUGACAGUUUCAACUCUAUUUGCAUUUGAGGUUUGGUCCAACAGAAUCAGUCAUAUGGACACCGAAACAGACAUUUGACUGGAAAACGUAAAAUGUUUAUGUCUGAAUUCUCAAAAUUGAGCGCAGAGCAGACCCUACUAAAACGGGAGUAUCGAUUAACAUUCAUUCUGGAAAAUUAAAUGCUCAGUUUGUCGUGCACGGCAUUACAGUACUAUGUACCGCUAGCAGCAUUUUAUCCAGAGUGUUGUGCUAGCAGUCUAGUCUGUGUUUUAUACAUUUGCAAUGUGCAUAAAGAGGCAUUUAUACAAGGAAUUGUCAACUCGUUCUCAUUCUGAGAAAUAAGCAUCUUAUCCAGGUAGACCACUUGAUUUCAACAUCUAAACAAAGUGGACAGGCUGGUAUGCUGUUCAAACAGGUGGAAACGGACAGAAGGCUGUGUUCAUAACAGUUCAACUGUUCUACCUUGAUACCUAGCAAAUAUAUCCAAGUUCGCUAGACUUCAAAUAUAAAGAUUAGCUGACUUCUCACGAACACGUGGGUUGAGAGAUUGUGUUGAUUUUCUAUAAUGCACCUGCUAAUCACCUGCUACAAGAAGUUGGUCAUUAUUAGUGGAAGUGCACGGUUCUGUUAAAAUUUCUAACAAAAAUUGCAUUUUCAUAGACUGACAUGACAGCCAGAUGUGAUUAUUGCAAAAAGGCAGGUUAAACUAUUUUUAUAAAAUAAUGUAAUUAGUAGUGGGUCUUAUGGUUGUGGACUGUUUAUAUUUAGCCUAGGUAUACUUUUACAAGCUCUGAAAUCAUUACACUAUUUGAAAUGAAGUGUAUUGACCUUUAGUUGUACAACAAAGCUUAGAGAGAAAAAAAGAAGAUGAUACAUAUCAUGAAUCGCCCAUAUGUUUGCCUUUUAUUUGAUAUGAUUUUUAGGCCAUGUCAAGGGAAAUAGUUAAAACAUUGUUUUAAAAACAGUCUAAUAGCAAAAAUUGGAC
ensembl:lncRNA